rnacentral:rRNA from 1 species
AGAGUUUGAUCAUGGCUCAGGAUGAACGCUAGCGGCAGGCUUAACACAUGCAAGUCGAGGGGCAGCGGGAGUAGCAAUACUUGCCGGCGACCGGCGCAAGGGUGCGUAACGCGUGAGCAACAUGCCCGUAUCAGGGGGAUAAUCCAGGGAAACUUGGUCUAAUACCCCAUAGUAAUCUUAGGAGGCAUCUUUUAAGAUUUAAAGCUUUGGUGGAUACGGAUUGGCUCGCGUGACAUUAGCUAGAUGGUAGGGUAACGGCCUACCAUGGCUACGAUGUCUAGGGGUUCUGAGAGGAAGAUCCCCCACACUGGAACUGAGACACGGUCCAGACUCCUACGGGAGGCAGCAGUGAGGAAUAUUGGACAAUGGAUGGAAAUCUGAUCCAGCCAUGCCGCGUGCAGGAAGACUGCCCUAUGGGUUGUAAACUGCUUUUGUAUGGGAGCAAUAAGCCCUUCGUGAAGGGUGAUGAGAGUACCAUACGAAUAAGCAUCGGCUAACUCCGUGCCAGCAGCCGCGGUAAUACGGAGGAUGCGAGCGUUAUCCGGAUUUAUUGGGUUUAAAGGGUGCGUAGGCGGUUGGAUAAGUCAGCGGUGAAAGUUUUCUGCUUAACAGGAAAAAUGCCGUUGAUACUGUCUGGCUAGAAUAUGGUUGCUGUGAGUGGAAUGUGUGGUGUAGCGGUGAAAUGCUUAGAUAUCACACAGAAUAUCGAUUGCGAAGGCAGCUCACAAAGCCAUUAUUGACGCUGAGGCACGAAAGUGUGGGGAUCAAACAGGAUUAGAUACCCCGGUAGU